rnacentral:lncRNA from 1 species
CCAGAUCGGAUAACUGAACCUUGGCCGCUUCGAUCCCGAUUGUUCCCAUGUUCUGCCCGCCCAGCGUUUCCUGCGCUUUCUCUAGCACAGACUGCAGGUAUUUGCCUUGAGCCUCUAUCCUCAGCUGCAAAUGCCGUUGCACCUAUGUGUGUGUGUGUGUGGUAGAUAGAGUUAAUUAAGACAAGGCCGUUUUUGUUGAUGGAAAUGUGUGUUAUUGUCGUGUUUGAUUACCUCGAGCUGUUCGUGUAGCCUUCGUUGCACUUGAAUCUGCAUUUGUAUGGCUUCCCCUAAGUGCAUGUUUCUGGUAAAACAUCGCAAAUGUAAGUAACAUGAAAAGGUAAUUACAUAUAUGUCCUAAUAAGCUCCUCUUUUUCUCUUACUUAUUUGUCUGGUUUGCUGUGUUUGAAUUGUUCGUUUGCGCUCCGUUUUCCGCCGGCAUUGCUGCAAUCAGAGCUUGUUUGAGUAUGUAUGUGACAUAUAUAUACACAAAACUUCAUUGGUUUCGAGAAAUUAUAGGAUCUCUUACCACUAAUUUUGUUGCUCCCACAGUAAGCUUGUCCGUGAAUGUUUUUACUCAGCCUGUAUUUCUGCCGCCAGAAAAAUUGGGAAUUGAGACUUUACACAACAUGUUGUGUUAUGAUUUCUUCCAAAAACUGGGGAAAAUAGAUGAUAUAUUUACCUGAAGGUGACUCUUCAAGUGGUAUAAAGUUAGGCCUUGAAUUCCCAUAAGUUUCAAGACUGAUUUUGGAGUGGCUUCUGCAUUUUCAUACCAAAUUAGGUCAUGAAUCAAUUCUAUUCUAUAUCUGAUUAUGAUUUAUGAAUUGGGAUAUGCUUACUCUCUGCUCCGCCAAGUUGGUUCACUGCUUCAAUGAAGCGUUCGUGCAGGUCCGGAGUCCAUUUCAGCCUCGGCUUAGCAUCCGUGGAGAGUACAAGCCCUGAAUCCUCGCCUCCGCCUUGAAGGUACAACUGCCUCUCCGACAUUCUUGUCGAAGCUUGCAUGCUCUUCCCUUGCUGCUGAUACAUUCUGUUUCCAAAUAUAGAAACCGAUGUGAACUAUGUUGCUGCUCUAUUCUGCAUAAUCUAUAAUGUUACACUCCUUCCUCAACUAGCUGUUGUUGUAUGUUACUCCUUUUCUUUUCUUUUUUUACGUAUGGAAGUUGGGUGCAGGGAUGUCUUAAUAUAAACAUAUCAAGAGAGAGAGUGAGGGAGAGGGGAAAAGGUGGGAGUGAAACACAAGUGAAGAAUAGAAUCUUGAACAGGGCCAGAGCACAAGAGAGAGAAGAUUCAAUUCCAAUUCUCAGACAGCUGCACCAGCCAUGUAAGAAUCCCUCUUCACAUAUGACUUUGUUGAAAAAUUUAACACCUUACAAACAGGUGCAGGAAUAGAUCCCACACUCAUAUAAAUUUUCUCUGUGAUUAUGCGAACCUUAUUCCUGGAAUUAAUGGGUGGAAUAUAUAUUUUUCUCCCCCCAACCCCCCUAUUUGAUGUGAAUUGAAGGAAUCCACUAUCUAUGAUAUUAUGUCCCCAAACAAGUUCAUUUUUUUCCUCAUUGCCAAGAUUCUGUUGACUGAGGCAUCAAUGUUAAUCUUGAUAAUAUUGGAAAACCAAACCUCUAUAUAUCAGAUGAUGAAUCACCUCAUUUACUUGAUUUGUGGAGGGGGUGGGGUCAAUGGUAUCUAUUCUCUUGAAAAAAAUUGAUUCCCAAUGUUGCCAUAGUUUUGCUUAUUUGUUAGAACAUAUCCAUCCAAUCUUGAUCAUAUAUAUGGCAUCAAGAAGUUGGCCCAAACUUAUAGGGACCCCUCAAAAAAAGAAACUACGUACCUAGAGAGAACUUAGUCCUCUUUUUUCUGCCCCUACUCGUAGACGUGUUAUAGCUAAAUCUCAUUCUUAUUUAAUCGUUUGAUUAUUGCACUACUGCUUGGAGCUUCUGUACUUUGACAUUGAUUUAGAGACAUACAUAUUAAUCUAUCUAAUCAAUGCAAUACCAUCCACAUCAAUGCUGAUAAUGGCAUUUAAGCCCCAAUAUCUGGUAAUGUAAAAAUAUUGCCAAAACUAAACCCAUAAAUCUUGCUAAAAAAUAUGUACCAUCUGAUGCAAAAGGAAAUAAUAUUCUGAGCAUUAAGCUUUUUAGGAAAGAUCAUUUGAUUCUGAUAUGUUUGGAUAUUUAAUGCAGUUUGGAGGAAUCUAUGGAAGACCUUUUUCUUAAAGUUUUAAAGCAGAAAUUCCUCAACAGUUUUGCUGGCAUGUGGAUAGUAAAUCACCUGAAGAUGGGAGCAAGUGUCGAUUCGUAGGGCGUAAGCAUAUACAAACCGGAAAAUGCAGCACAAAAUUAAUUAGACUUCAAAUUAAUCAUGUUUAAUUAUUACUAGUAUUUAAUCGCGAAUCUAGCCUACUCGUGCUUAGGGAAUUAAAUACAAAAAACAUCCUAUGCUCACACUGGUUCUUUUUUCUUUUUUUUUUCGUAGUGUUUGUUGGUAUUCUUGUAAAUAGCCACUCUAUUCCCCUCAUUCAUUUCAAUCUCUCUUACUAAAACCCGUGUCAAAAGUAAAGUGGCAUAUUUUUGGUGGACGGAGGGAGUAGUAUUUAAUCGCGAAUCUAGCCUACUCGUGCUUAGGGAAUUAAAUACAAAAAACAUCCUAUGCUCACACUGGUUCUUUUU